UGACGUAAUUACGUAGCAGCACGUCACGCACGCAACGCGUCCCUGUUCAGUUGACUGGGAAGCCCCUAGCGCGGAGCUGCCAACGCCCGGCGUAAAGACACAAAUAGAGGAUACGAUCUUGAAUGAGUAGACGACUGUAAAACGAAGCCAUGCAGACCAUCAAGUGUGUUGUAGUCGGGGACGGCGCGGUGGGUAAAACCUGCCUGCUCAUCUCCUACACCACAAACAAGUUCCCUUCUGAAUACGUACCUACGGUGUUUGAUAACUAUGCCGUCACGGUGAUGAUCGGAGGCGAGCCCUACACUCUGGGCUUGUUUGAUACAGCAGGUCAGGAGGACUACGACAGGCUACGGCCUCUGAGUUACCCGCAGACAGACGUCUUCCUCGUCUGCUUCUCCGUCGUGUCCCCCUCCUCCUUUGAAAAUGUCAAAGAAAAGUGGGUUCCAGAGAUCACCCACCACUGUCCAAAGACCCCGUUCCUGCUCGUCGGGACUCAGAUUGACUUGCGGGAUGACCCCUCCACCAUAGAGAAGCUGGCCAAGAACAAGCAGAAGCCCAUCACUCCGGAGACCGCCGAGAAACUGGCAAGAGACCUGAAGGCUGUGAAAUACGUGGAGUGCUCAGCCCUCACGCAGCGAGGGCUGAAGAAUGUGUUUGAUGAAGCUAUCCUAGCUGCCCUCGAGCCUCCUGAGACGCAGACAAAGAGGAAAUGCUGUCUAUUCUAAUCUCCUCCUCCUCCUCCACCUGUGAUGGCUGCUGCUUUCUGGCAUUUUUCAUUCAGUCACCCGAUCUCUCACAUUGGCUCUCCUUUCCUCUCUCCAUGUAUUUACAUGUGCUGCUUUUAUGGACCAGUCUCCACUGUUAAAAAGGCCAAUUAACCAACUGAAAUAAUGUUAGAAAGCGACCACUAGUAAAACCCUGUUCCAGUUCAGUUAGGACUUUAACUAGCAUUCGCGCGCCAUAGUCACUGCUAUGAGAGCAAAUUUAGUUUUAAGUGUCUUGCCCAAGGGCACAUCAACAUGGACACUAGUGGGGCCGGGGAUCGAACCACCGAUCCUCUGAUUGAAGGAUGUCGUUGCCUCCGAUGAGCCACAGUCGCCCACUUCAGAGUGCUGUUCUUCUCACGGCCUCAUCGUCACUUCACCCGUUGCCUUCCCUGAACUUUGGUCUGGUGGGUGUCACUCGCCUACGUCACAUCUGACCUGGGGGGGAUUUAAACACACCACCAGUCUUCGACGUAGAGACGAGCAAAGUAUCGGGUGCAGGCUGCGCGUGCUCUACGUGGGACGGCCAGAGGAGAACGCAGCCAUGCCCCAGGAUGUCUGCUGGCGUCGGCGUAAAAGCGUCUGCUGUGCUUCAAUCUGUAGGUCGAUAGUUGUUUUAGAGCAAAUAUGAUUCGCCCCCAGCGAGCCACACCUGCCUUCACCAGUAUGAUUCCUAGCUUUGUUCCUUCGGCCCCGGGCCAACCUAUGGAGCGGGAUAUUACUGAGGAUGUAGGAUGUCAUUUGGGAUGUGGCCAUUGUUUCAUUCAGCCCCCUCAGUAUUGUGUGUGUGUGUGAGACUUCACGUGGCUCCACGCUGAGGUUGAUCUCCUCACUAAACACAGCUACCAUUGUUAACGCUGCUGUAGAUUUAGUGUAAGUGAUAAAGUUGUACUUUAGAGUCGUGGCGACGGCGGCUCGUCGUCCGGUGUGUGUGGAGCGUUUGGCCACAUCGACAUUACCCGGCUGCUGUUUUGUUCCUUUUGAGGGCUUUUUAAGCGGUAAAACAAUUUGUUCUCCAUCACGGUGACCUGCUGAAUUACAAUCAGCGGUGUAUUCAAAGGGCUUUAAAGACCACGCUGUCUGUCAGGGUGCUGUCAGCUGUUUGCUGUCCAGGCUGCCGUCUCAUAAUCACAUAACAUAACCUCUUCCCCCCCGCGGAUAAAUUGUUGCCACGACAGCGCUGUCUUACUGCUCCGGUCGAUAGCGACACGGACAGACUUUUUUUAAAUCUGCAGAAAAAUGCUUUUCCCUGACUGGUUUGACCCGAGCUUUCUUUCCAUAUGACAAACGUGUCCAAGAACAAAGGCUCUAACUGUGAACCGAGCGGUGACGUGAGUGAAUGAAGGACACCUGAACCGGCUCUGCUCUUGUGCUCUGUGUGUUUCCGCUGCGUUGUGAGCGGAUUCAUUCUGGGUCACAAACCGAGUGGGUGGAAGCAGCUCACAGUACCUCGGAAAGCCCUAAAGAAUGUGUUUGAUGAGGCGAUACUGGCCGCACUGGAGCCCCCAGAACCCAAGAAGAAACGCAAAUGUGUGCUGCUAUGAGAGGGUGCUACCUUUUAAAGCAAACACACCCGCACACACAGUCAUCUUAAAUACACACACUCACACACUUAAAUACCCUUCCCCUGCCACGCCCCCCCCCCCCCCCCCCCUUUCCGUCCCUCUGCUGCGUUUGGUCAGCGGCUUCUGGAAAGAAGUUUUCAGAUAAAUCUCUGCAAUAAAAGAAGGAGCUUCAGCCGACAUGGCGGCGGGUGCUGGGGGGCGGGACCCAGAUACACAGCACACACACAAGUACAAUCCUUUUUGAAAGGGCGGGGGGGGGGGGGGGGGGUCAUUCCAUCAGUGCCGUGGCCCCGUGAACCCUUUGGAUGCCCAUAGCCCUAAGCCCCUCCUACACUUGACCCCCCCCCAAGCUGACGAGCACACUCAUUGGCUGAGCCCUAUGUUUCUGUCCCAGAGCUGCCAGAAUAAAUGCGAACACACAAGUAGUGUUUUAUUUCUGGUUUGCCAACCCCCCCCCUCCUUUUAUUUUCCUUGUCCCCCCCUCCUCCAACACACAACUCAUCAGAGAUAUUUAUUCCAGGUUCCAGAUAGAUGCUCCUAACCACUACGGAACCUGCGUAGGUCUGACAGGAUCUCAGCAACAAGCAAAACUGCACUCAGCGCUGAAUUUACAGACAUCGCCAUCUAGUGUCCAUCUGGAGCGCCGUAACCACUCGAAGAGCUCAGACGUAGGCGACUGCGAGGAAUCGGGCCUUUUUAGAUGCAGGGAACUUAAACAGUGUUAUGGGAGCAAGCGGCGUGCUCAUGCUGCUUUGUCGAGAGGGGGCGGGGGGGGCGCAAGGACGGCUUUUAACAUUGUCACCACCUCACACUUAGAACAGGUACAACAGAGACAGCCAAAUCAUCGUGAAACAGCCGACCAAUUACCCUCCCCGCCCCCCCCUGCCCCACAAGCCCGCGCCCCCAAGAACUGUGAACUGGGCGAGAGUGGUUGUUCUGUUGUGCCGCAUGCAGCCGGCUACGGGCGAUGGGGUGACAGAUUUAAAUAUAAUGUAAGCUGGCACACAAUGUUGAUGUAGGCUCCAGGUGUUUUUACCAAAACGUUUUUUUCUGUUUUUGUUCAUUCUUUUUGUUUGUUCUUUUUUUUUUUUUUGUGCUGUUUUUAUUUUAUUUUAUAAAUAUAUAUAUAAAUAUAUAAUUAAAAAAAUGGGUUACUUUCACUCCUUUUACAUUUAUGGGUGGGAACUCAUCUAAACUCUUCCCUGCCAGUUUAUACCAAGAUGAAGCUCUGAUGGGGUGGAUUUACCCCCCCCCCCCCCCCCCCCCCCAAAGGCAGAGACUGUUCUUAAAGAGGAUUUGUUUCUUGUUUUUUUUCUUUACUGAACAGCUUAGUUGGGUCGAUUUCCAGCCCACGUCAGUAUCAUUAUUAUAACCUGUUGUUGUUGUUUUGGUGCAAAACCAAAUGCUCUGUCGAAAAGUCUUUGUUCUUUGUAUAUGCAUUCUUUAAAAAAAAAAAAAAAUUAAACUUAUACCUUAAUUGCCUUUA